GGCACGGUGGCGCAGUUGGUAGCACUGUUGCCUUGCAAUAAGAAGGUCCUGGGUUCAACUCCCGGCCAAGAGUCU